rnacentral:rRNA from 1 species
UACGAAGGGGGCUAGCGUUGCUCGGAAUCACUGGGCGUAAAGCGCACGUAGGCGGCUUUCUAAGUCAGGGGUGAAAUCCUGGAGCUCAACUCCAGAACUGCCUUUGAUACUGGAGAGCUCGAGUCCGGAAGAGGUGAGUGGAACUCCGAGUGUAGAGGUGAAAUUCGUAGAUAUUAGGAAGAACACCAGUGGCGAAGGCGGCUCACUGGCCCGGUACUGACGCUGAGGCGCGAAAGCGUGGGGAGCAAACAGG